CAAGUUAUUACUGCAGCGAUCGGAACCUGGAAUGAGGCCAGAAGAACUAGAAGCUUUAUUACAAGACGCCCAACAGUCUCCUAUUGAUGCGAAUAGCGGCCAUGGAUCAACACAUUUUCCGAACUUAGAUGUGGGUAACAAUGAAGAUUAAGCAAUGAAGAUUAAGCUGACUAUUAUUGUGGUUUAUUGGCUAAGAUAGAGUGCUAUUUAGAAUCUUUACAUGUAUGGUUGACUAAUGAUUUUUAUUAGAAGAUACUUUUAUUGGCUAAGUGAUAUUAUGGUUUUGAUA